CCCACUCGACCCUGUUUCCAGAAACUGCCGCAAUGGGCUCCUCGUAGCUGCACAAAUCCGGCGACCUCAAGCUCCCGGCCGCUGCCGCCCGGAGAUUCGGCGCCGUAUCCGCGUCCUGUUCGUCGACCCCAGCUCCCUAGUUAUAUUCCUUCCACUCCCUCGCUGACGGUCGCGAAUCCCAUGCGGCGCCGAGGGGAGCUGCGCGUGGAGCUCCGCUGCGCAUCCUCUCAAUCCAAGUCCCUCGACGCCCUCUGCCAGAACUCUCUUCCGCGCUGCUGUAAAGGGAACGGCGUUUGGCGUAACUGGCCAAUAGAGCGAUCUCCAAUUUCGUGGAUCCUCUCUUAGCUUCAAGGAACCUGCAAGAAACAAUUCCCAAGCAGAUUUUAAAUAGUGGCCCGUUCGAUACCUGGAUGCUAUGGCAAUAUCAGCGGUUCUGUAAUUGUGCUGCAAAUCAGCGGUUCUGUUUUUUAAAUAUUGCAAUAACAUCGAUUCUGUAGUAUUGUUUCAAGAUCGAUCUUUAGAUCACUAGCACACAUGCUGAUGUGCACCCAAUUUCACUGAGGACUCUGCGAUGCAUCUAUAUCCCAUACUAUACUCAGAAUACUCUUUAGUUGGGCGGACAGCGGGAGGUGGAUGGUUUUGGUGCAACAUAAAAUGGCUAACAGCGGGAAACAUGGAUGCAACAGAGGAUUGGAAGAUGCAGUACAAUGGCCGAUACUGGAGCUCCCGUCCCCACCAAAGACAAAGACACCCAAUGGCAGUGGCGCCUUGGCUCUUACCCAAUGGCAGUGGCGCCUUGGCUCUUACCGGUGACUGCAGCAGCAGCGCUUUCGUACCAGAUAUCAGCUCCCUAGACAAGUCUCUACAGCACUGCUUCCUUGUGGACUAGCUGGCUAUCACAAUGCGGCAGAGAAAAUUCUAGUGACGGUCAGAACAUAAGCUACGCAUGAGCUAGCGUGCAAGACACUGACAUAAUUGUGUUGGUUAGGUGUGGGCUUUCCCAGGGUAGAUAAGCUCUGGGAGUAAUCAGCGACCGGAAGCAAACUUUAAUUAGUGACUCUAAAAGCCCACUUUUCAAAAGCUAGAAUUUUGUUGUACCUGAGUGAAAAUUAUGGUGUUUGCUACGGAAUUCUUACACUCUAGACAACCAAUUCAGUUAGUACUGAAUCCUUUGGUGAACAAUAGAACAACAUAUGUUCUCCCAAA